GUAACAAACCAAACUAAACGAACAAGGUGUAUUAUAUUACAAUAAAAGUUACACCAAGUUUUUACAAAAAAUGCUACAACUAAAUGAUGCAAUACUAAGAUACUACAGCCACAAUAAAGCUUAUGUUACCAUAAUUCUUCACAUAUACUAGAUGAAAUCAAAAGGUUAUAGCUAUAACACAUUCACACAACACAAAAAAUCAAAGUACUCUUUCCCAAAUCUUGGACUUAACCAAUCUGCUCAUCUACUUCUUUUCCCUUUCUUUCAUCUUCUGAAUCUUUUCUUCCAACUUCUCUAGUAGUAUCUCUAUCUUCUUUUUCACUUGCUUUUUUCCUUAGGCUUCUCAAAAGUUUCAUAAACUUCCAAUUUACUUUCAAGAUCACCAAUUUUCUCCGCAAGUUUACGAAUAGCAAAUUUCGCCCGCAUCCCUCCAACGUCAAUAAUCACUAGAUCUUGGACGCUACAAUGA
rnacentral:lncRNA from 1 species